AAAAAUGCAAUUCUGAAAAUAUGGAUUUUUCCUUUAGAAUUCUACCCCAUGGUGAAAAGUACCAAAAGGACUUGACUGACUGAUUGACUGACUGAUUGAUUGACUCACUGACUGACUGAUCAUAUCUGUCUCCCUGUAUUCUCCUAGGUGUCUGCAGAACCUGACGGUGCCACCUAUGUCUUUCAAGGCUUCAUACAGGGUAAAGACUACGGUCAGUUUGGACUGCAGAGGCUAGGUAAACAUCACCACAUGUCCACUGUGUUUUUAUAUCAACUUUCUCACUGUCAACAAUAUUGUGUCAUUUCAAAACAUACACUUUUAUUUCAGAAAUAUUUGAUAUAGACUAAAAGGUUACUGUGAGAAUAUUGAUGUUGUUCCUCUCCCACACAGGUCUGAACAUGUCAGAGAGUAAUAACUCCUCCAAUCCACCUCAUGGUACAAACAGUAGCUCUGUGGCCAUAGCAAUCCUUGUGCCUUUUUUCGCCCUGAUAUUUGCAGGCUUCGGGUUUUAUCUUUACAAACAGAGGUAAGUGUACCUACCUACCUACCUACCAGCUAUUAUUACUGACCGACCUACCACCAGCUAUUAUUACUGACGUACCACCAGCUAGUAUUACCGAUCUACCACCAGCUAGUAUUACCGAUCUACCACCAGCUAGUAUUACCGAUCUACCACCAGCUAGUAUUACCGACCUACCACCAGCUAUUAUUACCUACCUACCAGCUAUUAUUACCGACCUACCACCACCUAUUAUUACUGACCGACCUACCACCAGCUAUUAUUACCGACCUACCACCAGCUAUUAUUACCGACCUACCACCAGCUAGUAUUACCUACCUACCACCAGCUAUUAUUACCGACCUACCACCAGCUAUUAUUACCGACCUACCACCAGCUAUUAUUACCAACCUACCACCAGCUAUUAUUACCGACCUACCCACCAGCUAUUAUUACCUACCUACCACCAGCUAUUAUUACCGACCUACCUACCAGCUAUUAUUACCGACCUACCUACCAGCUAUUAUUACCGACCUACCACCAGCUAUUAUUACUGACCGACCUACCACCAGCUAUUAUUACCGACCUACCACCAGCUAGUAUUCACCUACCUACCACCAGCUAGUAUACCGACC
rnacentral:lncRNA from 1 species